UUCUUUGAGUCAAGCCUGUCUAGUUCCUGUAACACAUUUAUAAUGAUAGGAAACAUUGAAACGGAAACGUCUGUCAGAAGUGUUAGUAAAAACUAUAAGAAAAAGUGAUAAUUAAAGUUUACAUCUAAUAUCUAUUUUCAGAUAAUAUGACAAGCAUGAGAAAAGUUGUGUUAUUGUUUACAUGGGUUGAUACACUUAUGUUAAUGGUGUUGAGACAAUAAUAUUGUUAACCCUUUUAAGGAUGGUGAACGUUCGAUGCCAUCCUUGGGAACCCGGUUUUAAAAGCCGGCGGGUGGCAAAGAAUGCCCAAGCCGUCCUAUGUACUUACCCGGUCGCCAGCGAUCCCACGCCUGUCAGCCCAGGGAGUCCCCCUCCUUCCUUUCCGGCCCCCCUGAGCCAUGUGAUCGCGAGGUCCUAUCAACUUUCAAUGGUACUUUCUGGGCCUAUCAUGGUGACCACGGGUAACGGGGAAUCAGAAUUCGAUUCCGGAGAGGGAGCCUGAGAAAGGGCUACCACAUCCAAGGAAGGCAGCAGGCGCGCAAAUUAGCCACUCCCGACGCAGGAAGGUAGUGAUGAAAAAUAACAAAACAGACUCUUUCGAGGCCAUGUAAUUGGAAUGAGUACACUUUAGAUCCUUUAAUGAGGAUCUAUUGGAGGGCAAGUCUGGUGCAGAGCGACUGACCUGUGCGUGCUGCAGCUGAAACUCCACU